UACAGAGGGUGCGAGCGUUAAUCGGAAUUACUGGGCGUAAAGCGCACGUAGGCGGCUUGGUAUGUCGGGUGUGAAAUCCCCGGGCUCAACCUGGGAACUGCAUCCGAAACUGCCUUGCUAGAGUAUGGGAGAGGGAAGUGGAAUUUCCGGUGUAGCGGUGAAAUGCGUAGAUAUCGGAAGGAACAUCAGUGGCGAAAGCGAGGUCCUGGACGUCUACUGACGCUGAGACGCGAAAGCUAGGGGAGCAAACGGGGG
rnacentral:rRNA from 1 species